UACCGGAGGGCGCCCAGAGGGUGGCGGCCCGCAGCGCGGGCUCCUGGGCGCCGCCUCCCCUUCUGCGCCGACGCUGGAGGCUAGUCCUGCUCGCGCUGUUCUGGGCGGGGAGAGUCAGGCGAGAGUCAGGCGGAGCAGUCUGCAGGACAGGCGGUUAGCUGACAGCUGUGAGCCAGGCGGUCGUGUUGGCAGGUCCUUCACUGACUACAGCUGCCUUCAGGACACUGGCCGGGAGCCACUACCAGGUCAUCAGGCUGUUUGUCAAGGGUGGGGCAGCCACAACUUGUGCUCUUCCUCAUGAGCCCAGCCUGGGGUGCCACCUGGCACUCAGCACGGCCACAUCUCUUCCCAAGGAUCUGAAAAGAACUGAGGAAAGUGACAAACCUGGAUGGCUACACCUGACCAGAGAGUGGUCUCUAGACCCCAGAGACCUUCUCAGGAACAAAAGGGGAGUGGGGCCUUCCUGGGUCCCCUGGACAACCUGGAGUGUAAGGAGAGCCAGGAGUUUGUGCAGACAGAGCUGGCCAUGCUGAGGAAGGCACAGGAAUUCUUCCGGACCUGCGACACAGAGGGCAAGGGCUUCAUUGCCAGGAGGGAUAUGCAGAGGCUCCAUAAAGAGCUGCCACUCAGCCUGGAGGAACUGGAGGAUGUGUUUGAUGCACUGGAUGCUGAUGGCAAUGGCUUUCUCAGUCCAGAGGAGUUCACCACUGGUUUUAGUCGCUUCUUCUUCAGCCAGAACAAAUCAAGUCAGGAAGAUACAGGUGAAUGGGUGGCUCAACUCUGGGAAGAGAAGCUGUUUCAGUCCAGAGCAGAAGAGGAUCUGGGUGACAUGGAUGAAGAUGAGGAAGCCCAGUUCCAGAUGCUGAUGGACAAACUUGGAGCCCAAAAUGUUUUGGAAGAUGAAAGUGAUGUCAAGCAACUCUGGCUGCAGCUGAAGAAGGAUGAGCCUCACUUACUGUCCAACUUUGAGGAUUUCCUGACCAGAAUCUUCUCCCAGCUCCAAGAAGCCCACGAGGAGAAGAACGAACUGGAGUGUGCCCUGAAAAAGAAAAUUGCUACUUAUGAUGAAGAAAUCCAGCAUCUAUAUGAGGAGAUGGAACAGCAAAUCAAAAGUGAGAAGGAACGGUUUCUUCUGAAAGACACAGAGAGGUUUCAGGCCCGCAGUCAGGAGCUGGAACAGAAGCUGUUGUCUAAGGAGCAGGAGCUGGAGCAGCUCGUUCAGAAGCAGAAAUGGCUGGAAGGUCGAUGCACAGCCCUGCAUAAUGACAAGCAUGAAACCAAGGCCGAGAAUGCCAAGCUGAAACUGACCAACCAGGAGCUGGCCCAGGAGCUGGGGCGGACCUCCCGGGAGCUGCAGCGUGCCCAGCAGCAGCUGGAGAGCCUCCAGCAAGAGGCCUGCAAGCUCCAGCAGGAGAAGGAGAUGGAAGUGUACCGUGUGACAGAGAGUCUGCAGCGGGAGAAGUCGGGGCUCCUGAAGCAGCUGGAUUUCCUCAGGGAAAGGAACAAGCACCUCCGGGAUGAAAGGGACAUACGUUUUCAGAAAGAUAAGGCAGCCAAGGCAAACACAGCUGCUUCCAAGGCAAGCAGGAAACAGAGGUCUGGCUCUGUGAUAGGCAAAUAUGUGGACAGCGGAGGGAUUCUUAGAAGCAAGUCAGAGGAGGAAGAAGAUGGGGUUGGCAUUCAGAGGAGGAAAAGCUCCCUGGGCCUGAGUGUGUAUCCCCUUACAGAAGAGGAACCAGGAACCAGGGAGCAAGGGGCUGGAGGUCCACUCCCCCGGGCAUUCCGCAGAAUCAUCUCCAUUGAAGAAGACCCCCUGCCCCAGCUCCUGGAGGGUAGUUUUGAGCAGCCACUGAGCAGAUGUCCAGAAGAGGAGGAGGUCUUUGACCAGGGUGGGGAAACCCAGCAGGCCCGCCCUUCUCGGCUCAUGCCCACAUCUCCCCGAACACAGCCUGUUGGGAAGGAAGCUGUGUCUAAGGAAGAAGGCUCUCCCUCCACCCCAGACCAAUUGUUCAAGAUUGUGUUUGUGGGGAACUCUGCUGUAGGGAAGACAUCCUUCCUCAGGAGAUUCUGUGAUGACCGGUUCUCCCCAGGCAUGACAGCCACUGUGGGCAUCGAUUACCGUGUGAAGAUGGUGCAAGUGGAUGACUCUCAGGUGGCCCUACAGCUGUGGGACACGGCGGGACAAGAGAGGUAUUGUUGCAUCACUCAGCAGUUCUUCAGAAAGGCAGAUGGCAUCAUCAUCAUGUAUGACCUCACAGCCAAACAGUCCUUCCUGUCAGUCCGGCAGUGGCUGAGCAGUGUGGAGGAAGCUGUGGGAGACCGCAUUCCUGUACUUCUGCUGGGCAAUAAAAUUGACAACGAGAAAGAGCGGGAAGUACCCCGGGGCCUUGGAGAACAGCUUGCCAAGGAGAACAAUUUGAUCUUCUAUGAAUGCAGUGCCUAUUCCGGUCACAACACCAAAGAGUCCGUGCUCCAUCUGGCCAGGAUCCUCAAGGAGCAAGAAGACACAGUGAGGGAAGACACCAUCCAGGUUGAUUACCCUGCCAAGAAGAAAACCUGCUGUGGCUGAUAGGCACCUCCCAGGACUGCUCUACCCAGGCCUAGGGUCACAGGACCUGCAAUGAAUCUAGCACAUGGCUCUUGCACAGAUGCCCCUACCAAGGCCAGCCCAGACCUUUGUCCUUUUACUUGCCUCCCCCAUAAAGAAGGGGAGCACCUCCAGCCAGGAAAGCUGCUCUUGGAGCAUGUUGAAGUCUUUUCUCACCCUACUUUCUCUAGACCCCAGAUGCCCAUUCUUUUCCCUUCUUCCCCCCACUCUUCCAGAUUGACUUCCUAGGAAAAAGAAAUAGAUGGGUUUUUCCAGAAAAGCCACCAUGUGCCUUCUCCAUCUCCCUCCUCCUUCCCACCCUUGCCUUUAGGAGCUUCAGCACUACAGUUGCCACGGUAACUGUGCAGGGCUGACUUGUUGCUUCCUGCAGGCCACAGAUAUAGCACUUGGGCAACGAAUGCCAGGGUGGUUGGUCUGGCUUUGGCUCCUGUUCUCUGGACGCCAGUGGGACACUCUUGGCAUAUGCUUCCUGGACCUCAAGAUACCUGCAUGGUGUUGAGGGGAGCAAACCAGAGUACCCACAUCUUAUUCCCUACCCCUUACCCCUGACCCCAGGGGUUCUGUUCUUUUCCAGGCUUCAGGGCCCAGCCUCUCUCAGCAUCCACAGGGCUUUGGCAUUUGCCCCAGUGGGUUUGCUGGAACAGUGCAUUACAAGGAACCUACAGCCUUUUCUCCUUACCGCCCACCCACAGCCAGGACUCCCAGAAGACUGUAUUUAAAAAAAUAAAAUAUGGCUCUGAUGGUGACAUUUUGCUGCUGUUUGUGUACAGUGUUGCUGUUGGCCUUGGCACUCCUGUGACUGCAGCAGCAUGGGGGCCCUCAGAUUAAGGGACUGACCUGGGCCUGUGGUGAUUCCUACAGCUGGUGCCGGCUAUAGCCCCGGGCUCCUAAAAGAGAUUGGGUGAUGAAGUGCACAUAGUUAUCCAGGCUGGGGAGAAGCCAGAGUUCCCAAGACUGUUCCCUGCAGCCUCUACCCAAGAAAGGGUCAGAGCCCCAUGGGUCACCAGGUCCAAAGAGAAGCCUCGUGGCCAGAAGUUCAGAGGAAGAAGCAUGGUCAGCAGACGGCAUGCUGAGCUGGACUUGGGCUCACCACCGCCCAGCUCUGCCUCAGCUCCCCUCCUCCUCCUGGGGCUCAGUGCCUUAGCUCCUCAGCUACAGUGUGGGUGGGGAGUACCUCAUGCCUAAUGCCCAGGGCUUUGGGGAAGCCAACAAGUAUGUAGAUGCCAGAGAGUUAUGAAAGGGAAGGGCCACUGCUACUGAAGUCAGUUAUCAUUUUUAAGGUCACUAUCAUCCCCAAGAGAUGCACCCCAUCAAGCCAAGUCCUCCUCUAUAUCCUUCCAUCCUGGGCUCUGUCAGCUGGACCACUUCCUCUAAAUGGCCCUGUUCCUUCCCCAGACCUUGGACUGUCUCUUCCAGGGGAGAGGAUGAUACAGGUGAGACUGCCUAUCUCCAAAGCUAAAGAAUAACCAAAUCCAACAAAUCAAAACACCUCACCAGUUCUGGCAAAGGACAUUGUAUUUCUAGCUAGGGAGAUUCUGUAACUGCACUUGGACUACGGCUAGAAAUUUCCCAGAGAGGUCUCUAAUGGAAAUAAGGGCUGCAAGAGGUCCAGCCUGCUUCUCUCAGGGCCUCUGAGUACCACUGUGCAGUGUGUACACUACACAAAAGGACUAGGCUCAAGGGCAAGUGAAAUCCACUCGCCUGCCAAGCACAGCAUCCACAGAGCUAUGUGCUCCUGGAGAGGCAGGCCCCUUUUCAAAUUCAUGCCUGUUCAAAUUUACUCCCUUUCUGAGUGAUAAUGGUUCCUGAGAUAAUAUUUUAGAGCCAGUAGGGGCAGGAAUAAAGGUAUAGGCAAGUGAAAAUGUGGUUCUUGGCCAUGGGAUGGGUGCCUAGCUAAGACCCAACACCCUUUUGGGCUGCAGAAAAGGCAUUAGGUGAAACUGCACAGGCCUUUUGGUGGGAAGGGAAGAGAGAAGGUCAAAGAUAGGACUGGCCUCAGAGUAUUAGGGCUGGGCAGAGUUUCAAGUCACCUACAUAAGUCAUUUUCGAAGGUGUUUGAUUUUGGUCUUGGUUCCUUUUCAUUUCUUUAUUUUUAU